AUGCGUGUGACCUGCGGCCCACCCCGCGAGCUUGACCUUCUGGCGCCCCGACGCAGGAGGAGCUUCUGCCUUCCGGAAGGCUCUGCCAAGUCGGCGGGGACCUCCGCGGAGCCCGUUCGCUUCUGGAGGAAAGAGCCAGACUUCUCAAAGCCACAAAACGUUUGUUGCAAUGCCACUGUGAAUAAAUGGAUAUGGACGGGCCACCCCAAGGCUCUCCUGUUCCGGGAUCAUCUGCAAAGAGCAAACGUCUAUUGAAUUGUGUUUCUUGCUUAUCCGGUUCGGCAAAGAUCGUGUUAUUAUAUCCGCUUUGCAGUUGGGGCUCAGAGAGGAUAAAUAAGAUGAUUCCACAGAACCUCUCCUGAACCCUCCCUUCCUUCCCACUCUCCACUGUUACCACCUGCCAUCCGUGGUCACUGCUUCUCUGUUUUACAUUUUAUGUAUUUACUUUUACUGAGGUGUUAUUUACAUGCAGUAAAACAAUAAAUCCUAAGUGUGCAGCGCAACAUGUGUUUACAUUUGUGUACAUCUGGGUAACUGCCCCUCUGAUGGAGAUAAGAGAACAAAUCCAUCAGCACGGGAAGCUCCCCUCCAUCUGUCUUCUGGUCUCCCACUGAACGUCACUUCUCUGACUUUGGUUUCUGUGGGUUAGUUUCUUCUCUUCUAGGAUGUGGGGAGACUGGGAGGACACACUGUGUACUUUCUUUGCAUCUGGCUUCUUUUGUUCAACAUCAUGUUUUUGAAAUUCAUCAUGUCUCUGCCUGAGUAGAAUUCCGCUGUAUGGGUGUACCACAAUUAUUUUCUUUCUUUCUUUCUUUC